GCUUUGGCACAUCCCCAUUUCAGAGUAUCUCAGAAACUGAGCAGAGUUGGGCCUGGUUAUAACUUGGAUGGGAGACUCCUUGGAAAUUCCAGGUGUUAUAGGCU
rnacentral:rRNA from 1 species